GGACGUUCCAGCUUUCCGCCAUCUUGUUACACCGCAUGGAUGAACUCGACGUGGGAAAACGGGAAUCAAGAAAAUUGAUUAAUGCCGAAUUUGUUUCGCAUCACGACCUUCCCUUUACAAUCGAGAUUUAUGGCCUCUUUGGUCAGACAGAGCUCUCAGCUUCUCCAGGUUAUUAGGAGCAAAGGUGGUGUCCUCCGUGAAAAAACUAAGGAUACUAUUAAAGUUAUGGAUCAGGUAUUGGUUGCAUGCGAACAAAAUUGCUUGUGGCAAUCAAUUUAGUAGUGUUUUGGUCUAAUAAAAACAAUACAUCUUGAACAUUUUGUUGAGUCUGGACAUAGACAUCAGAAGAGAGUGCCUGCUGAAGUGCCUGAUCAUGUACCUUGGUGAAGAUGCAAGCUGUCUGAUCAAAGAAUACCAGGCUGACCAGAGGGAGGAAGCGGAGAGAGAAUUUGAAAAGACCACUAUGGCAAUUUUUGUGAUCCGCGAAAGUGAUUCUCUUAGUCGUGCACUGGACACUUCCAUUGUCAUUGAAGGUGUGGAAGUACUAAAGGAGUUGCCCUCUGUUGCAUGUGCCUGUGCCAUGAUGUUUGGACUCAUUUAUGCACUGAACUUAAAAUAUCCUGAAGGACUCAAUAUACCUUUGAGGCCUUUCAGAAAAUAAUCAUGGACAUAGAGAGUAAGCAGAUGAGCCGAAGGGUGCAGAACCUCUCUUCAAAGCUGCAGGAGUAAAUUUGUUUCCUUUGACCCAGCUACAAUGUUCUGCUGAUGGUAAAUUUCUUUGAAGAUGUUGGACUGUAUAAAGCCUUUUAUACAAAUGUAACUGUACUACUGUUUACUAAACCGGAUUUGUUUUAUCUAGGGUUAGUUAAAUAGUUUACCCAAAAAUGAAAAUUCUUACGUUGUUUACUUAUCCUUAAGCUAUUGAAGUAUUUAACUUUAAUUAAUUUUGGUUCAGAGACAUUUUAUGACAAUUAUGAGAGAAGUUUCAUUUUUGGGUAAAAUGACCCCAAUGACCAUGAAGGUGAAAAUACUUAUUUAUUUAUUUUUUUCUACCAUUGGCUAAUUUGGUAGGUGUUUUAUUAAUUGUUUGGUUUUACACUGCCCAUUUUAAAUCAGUUUUUGGGCCAAACUUGUUUUAACUUCAGAUUACAUGUUUCUCUUCGAAACCAUAACUGA